UAUAUAAAGAUGCUGUCCCACUUUUAUGCU
rnacentral:piRNA from 1 species